GCCCUACGGGACGCAGCAGUAGGGAAUCUUCCACAAUGGGCGAAAGCCUGAUGGAGCAACGCCGCGUGGGUGAAGAAGGUCUUCGGAUCGUAAAACCCUGUUGUUAGAGAAGAAAGUGCGUGAGGGUAACUGUUCACGUUUCGACGGUAUCUAACCAGAAAGCCACGGCUAACUACGUGCCAGCAGCCGCGGUAAUACGUAGGUGGCAAGCUUUAUCCGGAUUUAUUGGGCGUAAAGGGAACGCAGGCGGCCUUUUAAGUCUGCUGUGAAAGCCUUCGGCUUAACCGCAGUA
rnacentral:rRNA from 1 species